rnacentral:rRNA from 2 species
CAAUAGCGUAUAUUAAAGUUGUUGCAGUUAAAAAGCUCGUAGUUGGAUCUUGGGUUGAAGCUCGGGGUCCGCCGCGAGGUGUGUACCCCAGGGCUUUGAGCCUUGCUUUCUCGGAUCCCGCUCCAUGCUCUUGACUGAGUGUGGCGGGAGAAGAGGACGUUUACUUUGAAGAAAUUAGAGUGUUCAAAGCAGGCAGUUUGCUUGAAUAAUGGUGCAUGGAAUAAUGGAAUAGGACCUCGGUCUUAUUCUGUUGGUCUUCGAGACAAGAGGUAAUGAUUAAGAGGGACAGCCGGGGGCGUUCGUAUUGCUCCGUGAGAGGUGAAAUUCUUGGAUCGGAGCAAGACGCACUACAGCGAAAGCAUUCGCCAAGAAUGUUUUCAUUAAUCAAGAACGAAAGUUGGAGGUU